CCUACGGGAGGCUGCAGUGGGGGAUAUUGCACAAUGGGGGGAACCCUGAUGCAGCGACGCCGCGUGGGCGAUGGAGUUCUUCUGCAUGUAAAGCCCUAUCAGCAGGGAAGAAAAUGACGGUACCCGACUACGCAGCCCCGGCUCAAUCCGUGCCAGCAGCCGCGGUAAUACGUAUGGGGCAAGCGUUAUCCGGAUUUACUGGGUGUAAAGGGAGCGUAGGCGGCCUGGCAAGCCUGAUGUGAAAUACCGGGGCCCAACCCCGGGGCUGCAGUUGAAACUGGCAGGCUGGAGUGCCGGAGAGGCAGGCGGAAUGCCUGGUGUAGCGGUGAAAUGCGUAGAUAUUAGGAGGAACACCAGUGGCGAAGGCGGCCUGCUGGAGGGUGACUGACGCUGAGGCUCGAAAGCGUGGGGAGCAAACAGGAUUAGAUACCCCUGUAGUC
rnacentral:rRNA from 1 species